UGGGGAAUUUUGGACAAUGGGCGAAAGCCUGAUCCAGCAAUGCCGCGUGUGUGAAGAAGGCCUUCGGGUUGUAAAGCACUUUUGUCCGGAAAGAAAUCCUUGGCUCUAAUACAGUCGGGGGAUGACGGUACCGGAAGAAUAAGCACCGGCUAACUACGUGCCAGCAGCCGCGGUAAUACGUAGGGUGCAAGCGUUAAUCGGAAUUACUGGGCGUAAAGCGUGCGCAGGCGGUUUGCUAAGACCGAUGUGAAAUCCCCGGGCUCAACCUGGGAACUGCAUUCGUGACUGCAAGGCUAGAGUAUGGCAGAGGGGGGUAGAAUUCCACGUGUAGCAGUGAAAUGCGUAGAGAUGUGGAGGAAUACCGAUGGCGAAGGCAGCCCCCUGGGCCAAUACUGACGCUCAUGCACGAAAGCGUGGGGAGCAAACAGGAUUAGAUACCCUGGUAGUCCACGCCCUAAACGAUGUCAACUAGUUGUUGGGGAUUCAUUUCCUUAGUAACGUAGCUAACGCGUGAAGUUGACCGCCUGGGGAGUACGGUCGCAAGAUU
rnacentral:rRNA from 1 species